UACGUAGGGUGCAAGCGUUAAUCGGAAUUACUGGGCGUAAAGCGUGCGCAGGCGGUUAUGUAAGACAGAUGUGAAAUGCCCGGGCUUAACCUGGGAACUGCAUUUGUGACUGCAUGGCUAGAGUUUGGCAGAGGGGGGUAGAAUUCCACGUGUAGCAGUGAAAUGCGUAGAGAUGUGGAGGAACACCGAUGGCGAAGGCAGCCCCCUGGGUCAAGAUUGACGCUCAUGCA
rnacentral:rRNA from 1 species